rnacentral:rRNA from 1 species
UACGUAGGGUGCAAGCGUUAAUCGGAAUUACUGGGCGUAAAGCGUGCGCAGGCGGUUGUGCAAGACAGGUGUGAAAUCCCUGGGCUCAACCUAGGAACUGCAUUCGAAACUGGUCACCUAGAGUGAUGGAGAGGAAAGCGGAAUUCCCGGUGUAGAGGUGAAAUUCGUAGAUAUCGGGAGGAACACCAGUGGCGAAGGCGGCUUUCUGGACAUUUACUGACGCUGAGACGCGAAAGCGUGGGGAGCAAACAGG